rnacentral:tRNA from 1 species
GUCUUUGUGAUGUAAUGGUCAGCACACUCAGUGCGUAUUUGAGAGGUCCGAGGUUCGAAUCCCGGCAAGGGCA